CAGUCGCCGCGGUAAUACGUAGGGUCCGAGCGUUGUCCGGAAUUAUUGGGCGUAAAGGGCUCGUAGGCGGUUUGUCGCGUCGGGAGUGAAAACCAGCAGCUUAACUGCUGGCCUGCUUUCGAUACGGGCAGACUUGAGGCAUUGAGGGGAGAACGGAAUUCCUGGUGUAGCGGUGAAAUGCGCAGAUAUCAGGAGGAACACCGGUGGCGAAGGCGGUUCUCUGGGAAUGUUCUGACGCUGAGGAGCGAAAGUGUGGGGAGCGAACAGGAUUAGAUACCCGUGUAGUCCCUGUCUCUUAUAC
rnacentral:rRNA from 1 species